AUAUUACGUCUCGCGCACGAACAGAAUGUACGCUCAAGUCGGCGUCUCUUCGCGGAGUUCUGAGGAACUUUCUGGACCUCGGGGAGCCUGAUCAGUCCGACUGGCUUUCUCCUGACGGUCGGCCGCCUGGUUGGUGUGUCGGGGCGUUAAAGGCUCCGUAUAUUUACCUGCAGGGUGACGUUUCUUUCUUUCUUUUUUCAUGAAGUGUACUUUUAUUAUUUCUAUAUUUUUAUUGUGUUUGAAUGUGGAGAAGUGAACUGUGGUUUCUAUUCUGCGAUGGACAGGAAAUAUAACUGAAUAAGAAUAACUGAAUGAUUAUGAAACAGUAUUUACAUGUAUUCACUUUAUCUGAACGUAAACAAAGUUUAAGAUAUUUUUUACAGUGUAGUUAUUGCCUGUUAAGUUAUGAUGUCAUAACUCAUGGAUGAGGUAAUAAAAACUGGUCAAAACAU